AGUUUGAUCCUGGCUACAGGAGCGAACGCUGGCGGCAGGCCUAAUACAUGCAAGUCGAACGGUCUCUUCGGAGGCAGUGGCGGACGGGUGAGUAACGCGUGGGAACGUGCCCUUUGGUACGGAACAACUGAGGGAAACUUCAGCUAAUACCGUAUGUGCCCUUCGGGGGGAAAGAUUUAUCGCCAUUGGAGCGGCCCGCGUUGGAUUAGCUAGUUGGUGGGGUAAUGGCCCACCAAGGCGACGAUCCAUAGCUGGUCUGAGAGGAUGAUCAGCCACACUGGGACUGAGACACGGCCCAGACUCCUACGGGAGGCAGCAGUGGGGAAUAUUGGACAAUGGGCGAAAGCCUGAUCCAGCCAUGCCGCGUGAGUGAUGAAGGCCCUAGAGUUGUAAAGCUCUUUCAACGGUGAAGAUAAUGACGGUAACCGUAGAAGAAGCCCCGGCUAACUUCGUG
rnacentral:rRNA from 1 species